CAAACUUUCAACAACGGAUCUCUUGGUUCUGGCAUCGAUGAAGAACGCAGCGAAAUGCGAUAAGUAAUGUGAAUUGCAGAAUUCAGUGAAUCAUCGAAUCUUUGAACGCACAUUGCGCCCCUCGGUAUUCCGGGGGGCAUGCCUGUUCGAGCGUCAUUG
rnacentral:rRNA from 1 species